ACGGUCACAUCCCGUUGAAACCCCGAUUCCCGUACGAUCACCGAAGUUAAACAACGUCGAGCCUGGUCAGUAUCUAGAUGGGUGACAGCUUGGGAAUACGAGGA